AGGAAAUUGUAGUUCCCAGUGGCAAUAUCCAGCGCAGAUAUACUUUUCAAGAAACUUCGGUUUAAGUGCAAUUACCCCCUCCUGAUCAAAGGGAUUGCUCCAACAUUUUAAUGUGGCUUAAAAAAAAAUCAGAUUGUCUAUGAAAAACCAUGGAUAGAAAACAGAUACAUGUAGGGGGUUGUGGCUACAGUAAUUGAGUCUUUCUUGGUGUCCCCACAUUCAUAUAGUAUACGUUAACUUAAAUUAGCUUAAUUUUAAGUUCAUUAUAUCAUCUCAUCAGACCUAUAACAAAU